CAUUUGACCACUUUCUAAAAUGGCAUAAUCAUAAUGUCAUCCCCUGUACUUGACCGAGUGUGACCCAAGGUUGAACCAGUGAGCGGCUGCAUGAACGACGACAUCGUCAUUGUACGAUGACGACACAUCACUCAUUAGCAGGGUUGGGCCUACAGGGGUAUAUGGUGCUUCGACAGCCCCUCGGGGUCACACCUACAUGCCGGCACAGGGGUGUUACUAUGGCGUUACUUGAUAUCGAUAUCGAUCAGUGAACCAGGUACCCGAACAUCGAUUUAAAUAUUUUGGCCAUUUUCACCUCUCCGUGUGUCUAAUGUCGACCGUGUUUGUCAUGUAUUUUGACGACUGGGAAGCUCUUUGAAUGCUCUGACCUAGGAGUUGAAACAUUCGCCGUCUUUGUCUGCACAGUUCGCAAUAUUACACAGUAUGCGGCGAAGUCUGCCAUCAAGCAUUAUCAUAUUAGUCACGCAGUCAUUCAAACUACUCGUCAGUCGGGGAAUCGAUUCAACACAGGCCGACCGCCAAACAAAGACCUGCUACCCCUAUAAGGCAAAGUGGCUCCGCCCAUCACGCAUGGCCGUCGCUAACCCGCAGAGUAGAAGGUAGAGACGCGACUGCUGGAGACUACACUAACAUCACGGACAGGGGUGGUCACCUUCUGGCCGGACACACAAGCACAGUUUCACACCGGAGACGGAUACUUUUCACAAGCAGCAAUUUAGUGGGGACCCACAGGAGCUGUUUAACCAGGGUCGGCCACAGCUGAACGGCCUCCACAUUGACAAGUAUCAACACAAAGUGACUCUUACGUAAUGACAAUGGCACAUACUGCUACAUGAAUGGUGGCAAUCAAUAGCAGCUGGCUGUCGACUCGUCAUCAGUAUUUGUAGACUGAUCACUUACAGGAAACAGUAAAGGUCUACAGUAGAAGUCUGUCUGGCAGAAACCAGCGGUUUGGAGACGUGCUGCAGUGUUCUGACAAGAUGUCUUUCCUAACAAACAUUUUUAAAAAGAAGUCGAAGAGUGAUGAGAAGAGAGAGGAAGAGCCCCAGGACCCAGAACAGAAGGAUAGGAGACUAAAGAAGCAGCUGUCCAUCUCCAGGUCAGGGCGGUUCAAACAGAAGAACCGCCAGCGAGGGGGCGUGGCCGACAGACCGGAUCUGUUCAUUCAGAGGGAUGAAGAAAGUAAAUCAGAUUCGAGAUCUCAGACAGGCACGUCCAACUCCCCCGGUAACAGCUGCAGGGAGGUAAACGGAACUAUCAUCCCGGGUGGCGUCAGGUUAAACGAGCAAGUGGCGUCAUGACCUGGGAUUAAGGUCAAGGUCGAGUUUCAGUUCGGACAUUCUACAGACUCUUCAUGCGCCGAUUAUGAUUACUGCAAAGGUCGAAGUUUGGACUAUGAGAAUGAGAUGUGAUUUGUACUUGGCCUCUGUGACGUAAUCAGGACUGUUGUUGGUUGUUACCAUGUACGGCGUUGUGAAAUAUGGAUAAUUGUCAACAUGAAAACCCCUGAAAUUCAACGACCAAUGAAAGUGUGGAUUGGAGUGCAAUGAUUAUGGAUAUAGCAAUAGCUUACUUUGUCUGCUUGGCGCGUGAAGUCGCCCACAGCCCCGUCGGCCUGAUCUCUGAUCCAUCCGUGAUACCGUGUCUUCCAGACGUGACGGAGGAAGGUUUGUUUCCUCCUCGGCAGAUGUGGGCGACACCUAGCGGCAGUAGUGACUGUUCGGAGGCCCCGUGCCCGCUGGAACUGCUUGUUUAAUGACUUUCUAACUUGUCGCUCCUGGGAAAUGUUCAUGAGUGUUUGUGUAAAUAGAAUUAUUUGAAUAGUAUUUACAUAUCAGUAUACGGACAGAUUGUGACUGGGAAACUGAUUGUUACAUGAUUAUGUUACUAGUUUAAACGUUCCUUUACGUUGCAAUUUCUCACAUUUUUGCCCAUGCAUAAUCUGUCACUGAAAAAGUGCGAAAUCAUUUUCCCUUUCUUUGAAAAAAAAAUUGUUACAUAAACAUUGAAGCAAAAAAAGAAACCCAAACAAAAACAAACAUAUUAACUACCCCGCAAAAAAUGUACUUGUUACCAAAACAUCGUUUUUGUGAGUUAAUUCAAAGUUGUCUCCAGAACGUUCCGGGGAACAUUUGAUUGUUACAUGACCAGUCCAGUUGUGGUUGACGCCAGUUUCCGGGCCGGUGUACAUAUAAAUCUGCUGUAUGUUAUAGUCAGUAUUGUCUCCAGACCUUUCUUGUGAUGUAAAUGAAUGAGAUUUGUAGAUAUAUCUAAUAGACUGAAUGUUGUCCCCCGGGUAGACAGAGUGUUCCUCACAGCGAAACCUCGUUAAUCUGGACGCUAAGGUACCAGGUAAAUCACCUGCAUGAUCAUGCAGGAAGCGCUGUCACUCUCUCACUCACACAGACACACACAGACACACACAGACACAGACACACACACGCGCACGCACGCACGCAGGCACACACGCACGCGAACAAACGCACACACACAUACACGCGCGCACACACACACCACACGCACAUACACUGGAUUAACGGGCUCCGAAAUAACGAGGUUUACCUGUGUGUUAUCUAAUUCUGUGGCUGUUAAAUAGAUCGGAUUAUGAGGGGCAAAGCUUUCACAUUUAUUCCGGAUAAUAACUGAUGUUGGCGUCCAACCACGUGCUGUCUUUACGGAGAUCAGGUUUCUGCAGGCUGCCCGGCAGUGAUUGCUUUUGUAUACAUGUGGCAUGGUCAUACUUUCUCACGUUUAGCUUUUGUAAUAUUUAUUUUUUAUUCAAAAGAAAGUAUUUUGUUGUUUACUAUAGUGCCUUGAAAUAGUUAUGCGCUCGCACACCCACCCAGACAGACACGCGCAGGCAUGCGCGCGCGCACGCACGCAAGCACACAGACACACAGGGAGACAGGCAGACAGACACACACUUUCUCGCUCGCUAUCACAGUUUCUCACACACAUACACACGAAUGUUUACAAUGUAUAUUUGGACAAUUCAUCAUGUUCUCCACUAUGUCUCUAUCACCUGUUUUGCUGUUUUGCUGUUUAGCUGAAGCAAUAGGAACAUUUGACAUAUGUUUAACACAUACAUCCACCUAGACAGACACAGUACAAGUUGUCAUACACAGUAUUUAGUAUUUGUUGGUCCAUGUUCAACAGUGCUUACUGCCUCACAGAUUAGCUCGUAGACUAAGUAUGUUUAUUUUGUUUGUUGUCUGAGAAUGCAGGUACAAGUAUACAAAACAACUCAUGUAGUUGCCAUACCACUGCAUAACUAGCCCAUGGAAAUCUGCCACCUGAACAUGGGAACGUGUCGGACUAACUGCUGGAUAUGUCGAACUACUUACUCGAAUUGUCGAACUGAUUGUUUGCUCGCUAUGUCAGUGUUUUGUUCGGUAUGUCUUAUCUGAUGUUUUGUCGGAGGUUGCUCUAAACGUUACGUUUCUUCUCCGACUGGCUUUUGUUGGACAUGUCGGACUUGCCAAUAUGGAGUCGUACCGGAUUGCGGCCAACGUAUGUAGGUCAGUCACUAGUACAGACAUAGUGCGAGACAGCGUGUGCCUUAUACGUCACUUAAUUUAAUGUAUAAAGUUUUGGAUCAUUA